rnacentral:rRNA from 2 species
GAUGAACGCUGGCGGCGCGCCUAACACAUGCAAGUCGAACGAUUAAAGCACCUUCGGGUGUGUAUAAAGUGGCGAACGGCUGAGUAACACGUGGGCAACCUGCCCCUCUCAUUGGGAUAGCCACGGGAAACCGUGGAUAAUACCGAAUACUUCGGGACUUCCGCAUGGAAGACUCGAGAAAGCUCCGGCGGAGAGGGAUGGGCCCGCGGCCUGUUAGCUUGUUGGUGGGGUAACGGCCUACCAAGGCAAUGAUGGGUAGCUGGGUUGAGAGACCGACCAGCCAGAUUGGGACUGAGACACGGCCCAGACUCCUACGGGAGGCAGCAGUGGGGAAUCUUGCACAAUGGGCGAAAGCCUGAUGCAGCGACGCCGCGUGCGGGAUGAAGGCCUUCGGGUUGUAAACCGCUUUCAGCAGGGACGAGGCGAAAGUGACGGUACCUGCAGAAG